GACGGAGGGUGCAAGCGUUGCUCGGAAUCACUGGGCGUAAAGGGUGCGUAGGCGGCCUCUUAAGUCUGACGUGAAAGCCCAGGGCUUAGCCCUGGAAGGGCGUUAGAAACUGGGGGGCUCGAGUGCCGGAGGGGAGAGUGGAAUUCCCGGUGUAGCGGUGAAAUGCGUAGAUAUCGGGAAGAAUACCGGUGGCGAAAGCGACUCUCUGGACGGUUACUGACGCUAAGGCACGAAAGCGUGGGGAGCAAAC
rnacentral:rRNA from 1 species